rnacentral:rRNA from 1 species
UACGGAGGGUGCGAGCGUUGUCCGGAAUUACUGGGCGUAAAGGGCUCGUAGGCGGCCAACUAAGUCAGACGUGAAAUCCCUCGGCUUAACCGGGGAACUGCGUCCGAUACUGGCAGGCUUGAAUCCGGGAGAGGGAUGUGGAAUUCCAGGUGUAGCGGUGAAAUGCGUAGAUAUCUGGAGGAACACCGGUGGCGAAGGCGGCAUCCUGGACCGGUAUUGACACUGAGGCGCGAAAGCCAGGGGAGCAAACGGG